UACGUAGGUGGCGAGCGUUAUCCGGAUUUAUUGGGUUUAAAGGGUGCGUAGGCGGAUUGAUAAGUCAGUGGUGAAAUUCUACAGCUUAACUGUAGACUUGCCGUUGAUACUGUUAGUCUUGAGUGUGGUCAAGGCAGGCAGAAUGUGUAAUGUAGCGGUGAAAUGCUUAGAUAUUACACAGAACACCGAUUGCGAAGGCAGCUUGCUGGGUCAUUACUGACGCUGAUGCACGAAAGCGUGGGGAUCAAACA
rnacentral:rRNA from 1 species